AUUGAACGCUGGCGGCAUGCCUUACACAUGCAAGUCGAACGGCAGCACGGGAGCAAUCCUGGUGGCGAGUGGCGAACGGGUGAGUAAAGUAUCGGAACGUGCCCAGUCGUGGGGGAUAACGUAGCGAAAGUUACGCUAAUACCGCAUACGAUCUAUGGAUGAAAGCGGGGGAUCGCAAGACCUCGCGCGAUUGGAGCGGCCGAUAUCAGAUUAGGUAGUUGGUGGGGUAAAGGCUCACCAAGCCGACGAUCUGUAGCUGGUCCGAGAGGACGACCAGCCACACUGGGACUGAGACAAGGCCCAGACUACUACGGGAGGCAGCAGUGGGGAAUUUUGGACAAUGGGCGAAAGCCUGAUCCAGCCAUGCCGCGUGCAGGAUGAAGGCCUUCGGGUUGUAAACUGCUUUUGUACGGAACGAAAAGGUUUGGGCUAAUAAGCUGAGCUCAUGACGGUACCGUAAGAAUAAGCACCGGCUAACUACGUGCCAGCCGCCGCCGUAA
rnacentral:rRNA from 1 species